GAGUUUGAUCAUGGUUCAGGACGAACGCCGGCGGCGUGCCUAACACAUGCAAGUCGAACGGAACCUAGAUGUUAGACUGUAGAUGUUAGAAAUUAGAACAAGGACAUGGUUGGAACUUUAAGAUUGAGCCUAAGGCUUGAGGGACCAUUGUCUUAGAUUUAAAAUCUAAAAUCUAAUGUCUAGAGUCUAACAUCUAGGCUUAGUGGCGGACGGGCGAGUAACGCGUGAGCAACCUGCCCUUAAGAGGGGGACRACGACUGGAAACGGUCGCUAAUACCGCAUGACAUAUCGGGAUGGCAUCAUCUUGAUAUCAAAGGAGAAAUCCGCUUAAGGAUGGGCUCGCGUCCGAUUAGCUAGUUGGUGGGGUAACGGCCCACCAAGGCGACGRUCGGUAGCCGAACUGAGAGGUUGAUCGGCCGCAUUGGGACUGAGACACGGCCCAGACUCCUACGGGAGGCAGCAGUGGGGGAUAUUGCACAAUGGAGGAAACUCUGAUGCAGCAACGCCGCGUGAGGGAAGAAGGUCUUCGGAUUGUAAACCUUAGUAGUCAGGGACGAAAAAAAUGACGGUACCUGAAGAGUAAGCUCCGGCUAACUACGUGCCAGCAGCCGCGGUAAUACGUA
rnacentral:rRNA from 1 species